AUGAACGCUAGCUACAGGCCUAACACAUGCAAGUCGAGGGGAAACGGCAGCUUAGCUUGCUAAGCUGGACGUCGACCGGGGCACGGGUGAGUAACGCGUAUCCAACCUGCCCCACGGUGAGGGAUAACCCGCGGAAACGCGGCCUAAUACCUCAUGGUCUCCGAGCUUGACAUCAACCUUGGAGUAAAGAUUCAUUGCCGUGGGAUGGGGAUGCGUCUGAUUAGCUUGUUGGCGGGGCAACGGCCCACCAAGGCAACGAUCAGUAGGGGUUCUGAGAGGAAAGCCCCCCACAUUGGAACUGAGACACGGUCCAAACUCCUACGGGAGGCAGCAGUGAGGAAUAUUGGUCAAUGGGCGAGAGCCUGAACCAGCCAAGUAGCGUGCAGGAAGACGGCCCUAUGGGUUGUAAACUGCUUUUAUGCGGGGAUAAAGCGGGCGACGUGUCGCCCUUUGCAGGUACCGCAUGAGUAAGGACCGGCUAAUUCCGUGCCAGCAGCCGCGGUAAUACGGAAGGUCCGGGCGUUAUCCGGAUUUAUUGGGUUUAAAGGGAGCGCAGGCCGGGUAUUAAGCGUGUUGUGAAAUGUAGGCGCCCAACGUCUGCACCGCAGCGCGAACUGGUGCCCUUGAGUACGCACGACGUUGGCGGAAUUCGCCGUGUAGCGGUGAAAUGCUUAGAUAUGGCGAAGAACUCCGAUUGCGAAGGCAGCUGACGGGAGCGCUACUGACGCUCAUGCUCGAAAGCGCGGGUAUCGAACAGGAUUAGAUACCCUGGUAGUCCGCGCGGUAAACGAUGGAUGCCCGCUAUUUGCGCAUUAGCGCAAGUGGCCAAGUGAAAACGUUAAGCAUCCCACCUGGGGAGUACGCCGGCAACGGUGCAACUCAAAUGAAUUGACGGA
rnacentral:rRNA from 1 species